UGAGCUGAAGACGCCUUCUUCCCUUUGAGGCC
rnacentral:piRNA from 1 species